rnacentral:rRNA from 1 species
UACGGAGGGUGCAAGCGUUGAUCGGAAUCAUUGGGCGUAAAGCGCGCGUAGGCGGCUGUCCAAGUCCGCUCUGAAAGCCCGGGGCUCAACCCCGGGAGGCGGGUGGAUACUGGUCGGCUCGAGUCCGGAAGAGGAGUGUGGAAUUCCUGGUGUAGCGGUGAAAUGCGCAGAUAUCAGGAGGAACACCGAUGGCGAAGGCAGCACUCUGGGACGGUACUGACGCUGAGACGCGAAAGCGUGGGGAGCAAACAGG